GACAGAGGGUGCAAACGUUGUUCGGAAUUACUGGGCGUAAAGCGCGUGUAGGCGGUCUCGCAAGUCGGGUGUGAAAGCCCAGGGCUCAACCCUGGAAGUGCAUUCGAUACUGCGAGGCUAGAGUCCCGGAGAGGAUGGGUGGAACUCUCGGUGUAGAGGUGAAAUUCGUAGAUAUCGAGGAGGAACACCGGUGGCGAAGGCGGCCAACUGGACGAAUACUGACGCUGAGACUCGAAAGCGUGGGGAGCAAACAGG
rnacentral:rRNA from 1 species